GCAUGGGGCCUGUGCCAGGACCAGAGGGCCACAUCUCACCCCCAGGCUUCUGGGAACAGGCGAUGGAGAAAAAGAGCACGCUACAGGCGCACAUUCAAUGGCAAACAGGUGCCGGCUUUGGAGUACCCGGGUGGGAAUCUCCGCUCUGUAGCUGAAAGCUGCUGCGUGACUUUGCAAGUUCCUGCACGGCUCCAAGCCUCCAUUUUCUCAUCUAUAAAACGGAGAGAAUAGUACCUGCUCUUUAGGGUUGGCUAAGGAUCAUAGGAGCGAAUGCAUGCAAGGUGCUUGGCACACUGCCUGACUACGGGCGCCUUCCAGCACCAUUCCUGAUAACCCCAUUACACAGAUGAGGCACUGGAGGCUUGGCCAGUCUGUCUCCCCUGGGGCCAACUCAAAUUUUCUUUCGAGCAGAAAUGAUGUUUGGGGCGUAUUUCUUCCCCAGACCCUUUUCUGAAGUACUCAAGAAAUGAAGAUUGCAUUGUGUAUAUCAUUUGUCUUCUUCACUCGCAUUGUAUGAUGAAAAAACUGAGGCACAGAGAAGUUCGACGCUUAUUGGAAGUCACACAGCUGGGAACCGGCAGAGCCAGGUCAAACCCGUGCCAUUGACAUCUGGCUUCCAAACACAAAGUUGGAAACUUCUACCCACAAGUCUUUCAUCCUUUUUUUGUGCCAUGGACCCCUCUGGAAACCUCACAAAACCAAUGGACCACUACUCAGAAUGAUUUAACAUGAAUAAAAUAAGGCACAUGGGCUUUCAAAUAAAACUGAUUACAUUGAAUUA